rnacentral:rRNA from 1 species
ACUCCUACGGGAGGCAGCAGUGGGGAAUAUUGCACAAUGGGCGCAAGCCUGAUGCAGCCAUGCCGCGUGUAUGAAGAAGGCCUUCGGGUUGUAAAGUACUUUCAGCAGUGAGGAAGGUGGUAGUGUUAAUAGCACUAUCAUUUGACGUUAGCUGCAGAAGAAGCACCGGCUAACUCCGUGCCAGCAGCCGCGGUAAUACGGAGGGUGCGAGCGUUAAUCGGAAUUACUGGGCGUAAAGCGCAUGCAGGUGGUUUGUUAAGUCAGAUGUGAAAGCCCGGGGCUUAACCUCGGAAUUGCAUUUGAAACUGGCAGGCUAGAGUCUUGUAGAGGGGGGUAG